GAUGAACGCUAGCGACAGGCUUAACACAUGCAAGUCGAGGGGCAGCGGGGUAGUGCUUGCACUACUGCCGGCGACCGGCGCACGGGUGAGUAACACGUAUGGAACCUGCCCGCAGCAGGGGGAUAAGCGGAAGAAAUUCCGUCUAAUACCGCGUAACAACGCUAGGAGGCAUCUCCUGGUGUUUAAAGAUUUAUCGGCUGCGGAUGGCCAUGCGGCGCAUUAGCUAGUCGGCGGGGUAACGGCCCACCGAGGCGACGAUGCGUAGGGGUUCUGAGAGGAAGGUCCCCCACAUUGGAACUGAGACACGGUCCAA
rnacentral:rRNA from 1 species